rnacentral:rRNA from 3 species
AAACCGUUGAAAGGGAAGCGAAUGGAGUUAGCAAUUCGCCCUGCCAGAUUCAGUUGUCCGCGCUUCGCGACGAGCACGCUCUCGAUCCGCAUGGACGAGACGUGCCCGGACGCGACGUGCGAACGGCGCACUUCUGGCGGGCGAGCGUCAGCGUCGGUCGCCGACGAGCGAUAAGGUCGCGUGCAAGGUAGACGCAUCCGCUUGGGCGCGUUGUUAAGACUCGCGUACGCAUAGCUCGACGGCGACCGUGGCUUGUAUUCUCGACGACGCGUGCCUGGCUGGCGACUCGUGCGAUCGGUCCGGCAUGACGACCGCGGCGGACGGCACGCCUGUGCGCUCGAACUGCUGCCGGUCGCUCGCACGAUGCUCGCACACUACGCGUCGAUGAUGCUGACGACCAUACGGCUCCAUCCGACCCGUCUUGAAACACGGACCAAGGAGUCUAACAUGUGCGCGAGUCUCCGGGUGAUCGAAACCCGUGGGCGCAAUGAAAGUAAAGGCCGUCCCCGUGACGGCUGAGGUGAGAAGCGCGUUCACUCGCGCGCCGCAUCAUCGACCGACCUAUUCUGCUCUCAGAAAGGUUUGAGUAAGAGCGUAUCUGUUGGGACCCGAAAGAUGGUGAACUAUGCCUGAAUAGGGUGAAGCCAGCGGAAA